CGGUAGAUGGAUGGCGGUGGGAGAGGACUGUGCGAGGGCGGGAGCGGCGGGGGGGCAGGAGGAGGACCCAGCCCCGCCGCCGCCGCUCCGGAGCAGCCGCGCUCUGCACCACGGGCACUGCCAGCCGCCGGGCGCAGGGCAUAAAUGAAGGUCCCGAAAGACUGCAAAAUGGUAGUCCUGAAGAAGGAUGUUCUCUGCUUAACCAUGGUACAGAGACAAGGUCUUCUGUUGAGAACUUUUAAGUAGAAGCUGAUGUCAGUCCCUAUGCCUGGAGAGCGUGAAGCAGAUGCAUAUGUUGCACUGACGUCGUCAGAGAUGAAAUAAGCCCUUGCACUUGUCUGAAGAGACACGUAUUCCUCAGUCAGAACCUUACAAUUUUUGUGUACUUUCCAGCAUAUUUCUGACUAUUUCUCACUAUUUAUGACUGAAAAGAACCCUUCUGCAUUUUGAUUCAGGACUGGGUUCUUUGUCAUAUGAGGCUUACGACUGAUAUUGGAACAAUGAUUAUUUAGUGAUCUGGAGCUUCUGCUGAGCUAGUAUCCGUUUCUACUUAACUGAACAAGCUACAAGCCAGGCAUCAAACAGCUACAACUUGAAAGCUGAGACAUAAACGGUGGCAUCUUCAAUCUAGGAGUAAGAAUUCCUUUAUUUUAGGCAUAUGACUUUGCAAGCGACAUUUGACACUCAACAGUUAGCUGCCUGAACCCCCUAAGUAAAAUGUGGGAAUAGGUGUACCCCUUCAGACUGCUGUGAGAAUCAACAUUCAUCCUGAACUGAGAGUCAGCAGGAGCUGGCAAUAAGAAGGAAUCACCCAUCCCAGCUGAAUGUCUGCCAUGCCACAGCCAGCCAGCCUCCUCCAUCAGGGGAGAAAUUAAGAUCCUCUCUUUCAAAUACUUGAGUCAGCUUUCUCUUUUCUUUCAGAGCCUCCUUUAGUAUAAAAGCCCAAUGGCAAUGAAACUUGGCCAGAGUGUGGACUAUGAUCCAUGUGUACCUUCAGUGAGAGUGUGAUUUAGAGUGCAAGCACACUCCGUGCCCCAGGCUCCUGGUUAGGGGAAUCUUCAUCUGGGGUCACUCCACGGGCUGCUUGCUGUAGUCAUUUAGCAAAAAUCAGAUUCUUGGUGUUAGACCAUAAGAAGGAACUGAUUUUAAGGCACAUGAAGGGAAGUCUUAAUUUCUGCCUCUUUUCCUUUUGAUUGCUUGCACAUUUUACAUUAAACAGAAAUUUAUGAGCAGAAACUGGUGUCUCCUGGCUGAAUAUAUCCUAAUCACUAUGAGAAGGCAUUAUCACUAACAGUUCUUUUUUUCUGCCUCUGUUUUAUAAAGCAACUAUAGCACACUGAGAGGGGUCUGGUCCAGCUGGUGGCUGGGUCUAGCUCCUCAAUGGAUUUAAAUGUGAUAAGUUCAGCUUUGGCCCACAAGCUGCUUCUCCAGGAGUCCUGCCUGGGCUGGCUCUGGGUCUUUGCAGGAGCUGAGCUCCAUGGAGCAUUCACCCCAAACAAGGAAAGAUACUGAAUUUAAUUAGGUGCUUCCAGGCUAAGCUGCCUCUGAAUAUGAUUCUUAGAUCAUAGCUUUCCACACAUCCAUCAAAGUCCCUGUUUGGAUCAAACUUCUCAUACUAACUUGCUUUAAUGUGCCUGCAGAGUUGCAUACAGUAAUAAACAUUUAGGACAUUGCAGGGAAGAGUUUCAUGGUACCUUACAUGAUACUGUCUCACCAACCUGUCAACUAAAAGUGAAAUAAAAUCUCCAACUGCUUAAUCUGUUAGUUAAUUAUCUUUAAUAAUUAAUUGUUCGAGAGAGUUUUAGUACCCUCAGAUUCAUAAAAAGGCAUCUAAAGUAGCAUUUUAUAGUAGGACUUAACGAUUAAGAAAUGUAUCUUCCUGAAUAAAACAUUCAUUUAUAA